rnacentral:rRNA from 1 species
GAUGGGGCUCACCUCUUACCAUUCCGAACAGAGAAGUUAAGCCCAUUAGCGCCGAUGGUACUACAUUUGUGGGAGAGUAGGUCGUUGCCUUUU